rnacentral:misc_RNA from 1 species
GAUGAAGAACGCAGCGAAAUGCGAUAAGUAAUGUGAAUUGCAGAAUUCAGUGAAUCAUCGAAUCUUUGAACGCACAUUGCGCCCCUUGGUAUUCCGAGGGGCAUGCCUGUCCGAGCGUCAUUUCAACCCUCAAGCCCCCGGGCUUGGUGUUGGGGAUCGGCGAGCCUCCGCGCCCGCCGUCCCCUAAAUCUAGUGGCGGUCUCGCUGUAGCUUCCUCUGCGUAGUAGCACACCUCGCACUGGGAAACAGCGCGGCCACGCCGUUAAACCCCCAACUUCUGAACGUUUGACCUCGGAUCAGGUAGGAAUACCCGCUGAACUUAAGCAUAUCAAUAAGCGGAGGA